GGUAGGCACCAUCAGGGGCAGCUGUGAAGGCGGCCAGGCAGACAUAUGUGCACACGUACACUGCACCAACGUGUGCAAAGACAGGAAGAACCUGGAAGAUCCUGAGAAGGACAUCUGGGGACAAGUGUUCCGGAGAAUCGCCUUUCACAGGACAUCUUGUAUGCUCUGUACGGUUUGCAUUUUUCACACUGGCACGUCACCUUCACUCUUCAUGAGUUGUUUCGAAUGUUCCAGGCUUGCAGAGAGAGCACUGGGUACAGACACAAUACAGCCUGCGUGCUGCCCAAGCCUCUCCUUGGCGACUCGGACAUGGGACUGGGAAGCGAGGCCAGGCUGCUGUGCCCACAGCCCAGUCACCGAGCCUGAGUGCCUGCUUCACGGACACCGCUAGAGCCCAGGCUCCGCGCUGGGACACAGCCUCACUCAGACACCCGGCUGCCCUUGCGCCAGGACCCGCCGACCUAGGAGGACGGCACAUCUGCAGCCCUGUCCCCUCUGCCCUCAAUGGUGUCCUGCAGUUCAGUGUGUGCCAUGGGAACAGGGACUGACUUUCUUCACUGCUGUAUGCUGAGCCCUACGCCGGCCCAGCACAAAGUAGGUACUCCGCUGUCGUUUACAGUAGAACCCACCACAGCACGGGGGACAGCUGGCGGGCAGGCAGGAGACCCGUCCCUGCCAGAGAGCACAGGGCUCAGGGCCCCGGUAACAUCGCAUCGGGACCCUGACGAUAUUUACCUGGCCGCUAGCAAGCCCGGCAGGGUGCGAUCAUGAGGCUGACAAGGCACAGGUGGGCCCCUCCCGCCCAGGUGAGCAGGGGUGGCUACCAGGAAGGAGCUGGAGGCACUGGGCACCAGAACCGCGGAGAUCCUGGCACCCUACCUCCCACCUCUUCCACCGCCACGCAGAGAGCCCCACAAUCCCAGACGUGGGGAGCAGGGGACCCUGCUGCUCCUGGGGCUGCCGAAGAGACCCAGGUGCAGCCGGGCUCAUCUGAGUAGACCCUGCCAGCCUCAGGAGCCUGGCCUCGGGUCCACAGGGGGAGUUGGGGCUCCCCUCCCCCGUGAAAGGGAACAAAGCAACCAGGUGCCAGCCAGGACCACAGGAGGAGAUGCAAGACGUAAGUGUGCUGCAGCGCAGCGCGCUCCGGGGAAGCCAGAGGCCAGCCCCGCUGUGAACUCAGACGUCACCGGGCGCACCUGCAGACCCCGCAUCAGCUGCUUAGGCACCAGCGCCGGCCCUCUGCCGCAGGGCUGCUCUCCACGCACUAGCUGGGGCCCCGCCCACUUCAGCCUGUCUCUCACAACGUGGGGCACGGACUCCAGCACUUCACAGCCCCUACCCCGCUCCAAAUCUUGUCACUGUCACUAGGGGCACUGCCCCCUUUCCCAGGGUCCUGAUCUGCCUGGGCCUCCGGGCCUGCGUCCCUGUUGCAGAUUGACGCAGAGCGCAGAGGCGUGGCGCAGGGGCGUGGGCGUGGUCUCUAUGGGCCCCACCCACCAGCAUCUUGCCGCCUGGCUGGUUCCAUGCUGCUGCGGGACUUGCCAGUCCUCCAGGCACCCUGGCCACACUCCCCAGGUCCAGACGAGGGCAAACCCCCAGGACCGCAGCCAGCCCCGGUCACAAGCCACACCCGCAGCCACCAAAUCCCCAUUCCUCACCCCCAGCGCACACCCUCAGUUGGAAGGAGCCUUGUCCUCUCCACGCCCUCCUUCCCGGAGAUCAGCCUCUCGGACUCCCCACACAACCUCUGAGGUGGCCCUUCCUACUUUAAAUCCGGGUCCUCUGGCCUCUAGGCUCCACCCUCUUGACAGUGACAAGUUUAGGAGCCUGGCAGAAGGGUGCCCAACUCUACUCCAGCCUCUGUGACCCCGCACUGGAAUUGUCACCUUCCCUAAGGCCGGAGAGACUCUGGUCUGUCUGGGCAACACGUAUCACAUAUGCAGCCGUGCCUGGUGCUGGAUGCAGACAGGAUGGGGCCGGGCUAUUCAUGCCCAGGUUGCCAUGGACACGAGGCUGAGUGGAGCCUGGAGGGGCAGUUAGUCCAGGUCUGCUGGAGAAACAGGGGCAGCACCCUGCUGGCACCAGGGAGCAGCAAGCACAUGGCAGGACAGGGCAGUGACAGCCACCAGCCACAGGAUUCCCAGGCCUGGCAGCCAAGGAGCUCACAGGACCGAGAAAUGAGAAUGGAGCAGUCCCUGGAGCCGUUGGGAGGAAGCGACAAAGAAAGAAACCGAGUCAGCAGGUGGAACAGGCCGUGACGCACUUCCCUGCCAGCCGUCCCCUCCUCCCCAGGCCUCAGCAGGCCACAGGGAAGCCCCUCCUUGUCCCAGAGCCUGCAAAUCUGCUGGUGGCCCAUGUGUCCCCGUGUCUGUCGUGGCUAAGACAGCACCCUGGGCCUCUCCAGAAGGGGCCCCUCCUCGCUUGGAGCUGUGCUGACCUCACACUGUGGACCGUGACCUUGAGCAGGUGGCCCGGCCUCUCUGGACGCCUACUGCAUCUCACGGCUGGGGGAGGGGAGCCAUGCCUCACAUCCUUACAGGGUUACGAGCAGGAGGGGUCCGAGAGCGGACUGUCAGCCCACAGCUUGGGCCUAACUUACAGGCUCUCCAGAAAACUGGCUGAAGCCUACCCACAAGUACCUGCGAAGGUGACCUUAUUUAGAAACACAGCCUCAGCAGAUUUGAUCAGGUUAAGGUUAUUAGGUUGGGCCCUGAUCCAAUUUGACUGGUGUCCUCAUAACAAAGAGAAACGGGGACACAGAGACAAGCCCAUGUGAAGACUGAGGGCCAGAGUGACAGGCCCACCAGCCAACCAGCGCACAGCCAGCGACCCCCAGAGACCGGGGAAGACAGGUGGGCCCGCCCUGCAGAACUCAGAAGUCCAGCCCUGCAACACCCACAUCUCAGACUUCUGGCCUCCAGGACCCUGAGAGAGUACGUUUCAUGGCUGUAAGCACCCAUGCUGUGUGGCACUUUGUUGUGGAAGCCACACCAGGUCAUGCUGCCUUCUCCCUUCCAGCCAGGCCCAAGGCCCCCAGAAGGUUCUGGAACACUGAGCCUCUGGUCACCAAUCCCACGUACUGCCAUCAAGUCACCAAGCACCCGCUCUGUCCUAAUUCAGUAUAGGGAGUCCCAGUUCGGAGACUUGCAUGAACCUCCCCCUCCCCCGAGACAAUGAGGAAUAUUCUAGAACACUGAAUGAAAUUACUGAGCCAGGCAUCGGUGCUUCCUCCCAGCCUGCAAGUCCCCUGAGGCUCGCUCUGCCUUGACAAGCGUCACUCGCCACAUCCCAGAGAGCCCAGCAAAACUGCAUCUUUCAACCAACUUCUGACUUUGGCCAAAGACAUGAAGGAUGAAGUAGCCACUUGGUGCCAGGACAAAGAAAAUGGGAACUGUAAGGACCUCUGAAGAGUCAAAAUUACUCUUGGAAAUAAAGAACCAAAUUGGAGGAUUCAACUUCAAAACUUACUACAGAGCUCCAGUAAUCAAAACAUCAUGGUACUGGCAUGAGAAAAAGCAUAUAAAUCAAUGGACUGGAAUGAACAGGCCAAAAUAAAACUCUAUCCAUGGUCAA